GCCGAAGUGGUGGAAUUGGUAGACACGCUAGGUUCAGGGUCUAGUACUGGCAACGGUGUGGGAGUUCGAGUCUCCCCUUCGGCACCA
rnacentral:tRNA from 1 species